rnacentral:rRNA from 1 species
AUGGGGUUCAGUGGUUCACGAUCGUCAAGUGAAGGGAAGCCAUUGGACACCAUGGGUAAGGCUUCCUUGUUGCUCCUGAGUCUCGUCGUUCCCUUUGUUCUUCUUCUUCUGCCGGUCUCACGCUCGGCGACGGUGGUGACCCAUCUCCCCGGCUUCCAUGACCGCCUUCCGUUCCACCUCGAGACCGGGUACGUCAGCGUGGACGAGGAGACGGGAGCGGAGCUCUUCUACUACUUCGUGGAGUCCGAGAGGAGCCCUGACACAGACCCCGUGAUCCUGUGGAUGACGGGUGGGCCCUUCUGCUCUGGCAUGAUUUUCUUCGAAGUUGGUCCUAUGAAAUUUGUGUUGGCACCUUAUAAUGGUAGUUUGCCACAGUUGGCCUAUAAUCCCUAUUCAUGGUCCAAGACAGCAAGCAUCAUCCUGUUGGAUUCACCAGUUGGUACUGGUUUCUCGUACGCUCGUGAUGUGGAAGGUUAUCACGAUAUUGGGGAUUUCUCCUUUUCUAUGCAUGUCUUAACAUUUCUCAACAAGUGGUUUACCGACCACCCACACUACCAAUCCAAUCCUUUCUUUGUUGGAGGAAGUUCAUAUGCUGGAAAGAUGUCUCCAAUUAUCGCACAACACAUUUCGCAAGAAAUCGAACUGGGGAAGCAACCCAGGAUUAAUCUCAAGGGCUAUGUAGUCGGCAAUCCUGUUACAGGCUCAGAUUAUGAUGACAAUUUCAGAGUACCAUAUGCUCAUGGUGUUGGGAUUAUAUCCGAUCAACUAUAUGAGGCUGCAAUUCGGAAUUGUAAAGGAAGCUAUAUAAGACCGACGGACAAAAUGUGUGCCAGGGUGCUAAACACUUUUCAAAAUCUUGUGUCUGAAAUUGAUCUGCCACAAAUCCUGGGUGUCAAUUGUAUAAGGGGUAUGUUAACACAUAAAUUUCUAUCAGAAGAAUACACUCAACUAAGUGAUCCGUCUCCUGAGCAACCUACCUUAGAUUGUUUUGCAUACCGUUACUACCUAUGUAAUAUUUGGGCAAACGACGAUUCCACGAGAGAAGCUCUUGGGGUGAAGCGGGGAACAACUGGAGAGUUUAUAAGAUGCAAGAAAAGUAUCCCAUACGCAUCCGAGGUCCCCAGCAGCAUAAAGUACCAUUUCAACCUCACAAGCAGGGGCUAUCGUGCGCUUGUGUUUAGCGGAGACCAUGAUCUUGUGAUACCAUUUUUGAGCACACAUGCGUGGGUUAGAUCCUUCAACUUCUCCGUAGUCGAUGAUUGGAGAGCAUGGCAUCUUGAUGGCCAGGCUGCAGGAUUUACAAUCACAUACGCCAACUAUAUUACAUUUGCGACAAUAAAGGGUGGUGGCCACGUAUCCAUAGAACACCGACCUAAGGAAUGUCUUGCCAUGGCUCGACGCUGGUUGGAUAAUGAGCCUCUAUGA